UUCAAGUUCAGUUCAUACUUUUAUUAUUAUUGGUGGCCAUUUCUUCUGUGCCCUCUUCUUCCUGUGCCAGCCAGGUCAUGUACGCGACUCUCGUCGCGAAAAAUAAAACCUGAGAAAUCGAGAAGGGUUUGUGUAAGGCUGCAUACAUGUUUGUUGUAAUAUGGGAAAACAGAGAAGAGGUUGUUACAGUGGAUUGAGGUAAGAGGAGAAAGUCUCUCCAUAUUGAUUUGAAUUGUUAUGGAUAUUCAGAGUUGUGAAAUAAAAAUGGCUGAGAAAGAGUAGGUUGCAGAGAAAUGUGUAUGUAUAGGGAUGAAUUUGGAGACCAUAAUUCAGGGUUGCAUAGACAGUAGUGACACUUUCUGUUGCUGCUGCUGCUGCAUGUUUGUGGAGUUUAUUGUUAUUGUGUCUCUUAUAUCAUACUUUUUUUUUUGUUGCUUUAAUUUUGUUUCUUUAUAGUAUAAUUUAUGAACAUUUUACAUGUAUUGAUUUUCUGAAUUGAGGUAAUUCCUUUCUCGUAUCAGUGUCCCAAAAUGUGUUCCUCUGCCAUGAGAAUGUUGUGUGCUUUUGCUUCACUUACCAAAUCUCUCUGCAUUUAAGUGAUGUGACUCCAUGCUAAUGACAUAAACUUCUUUUCUCAUAUGAUCAAUUAUAUGUUAGUUUCAACUUCGAUAGAGACCUCCAAACCCCCAUAUCUUUUUUUGGAUUUUAAAUAUGGUUUUAGCCAUAACCACUGGCUUAGCAAAACAAUAUUUUCAAUGAUAAUUCCUUUACAACAUACUACGUGGAGGAGGGGUUAUGGAAUUAGUAAGAUGUUGCUUUGAAUAUUUUAUUUUAAGAACUUAAUAAUUUAAGCCGGAGUUAAGCAUCUAAUUAUGGUUGUUAUCCUCAAUCUUCUAUCUAGGUCACCUCCAUUAUCUAUAGUUUAGAGGACCCAAUUCAGGUCAUGGUGGUGGGACCUGAAUAGCCAUCCCAAGAAUCAUUAAAGAUUUCAUUUAUUUAAUUUUGUGUGAAGCCUUCUUUUUCACUUGAUUAGCAGUAUGUUUAAGAUUGCCCCCCAUGUGCACCCUUCGUCACAAUAAUUCAGAUUUGAAUUCAUAUCUGUUUAAUUAAUGCACACUUUCCCCCCUAUGGAAUUGUGAACAUAAACACUGUUAAGCUUGUGGAAAGGAAAGCCCGUUCAGUUACAAGUUUCCUUCGCAUUGUGCCUCGUCAAGCUAACUUUCAAAGUUGCUUUUCCCUCGUGUUUGAACACACUUCUUUAGUUUCUUGUUACCAUAUUGGCUCAACCAAAACUUACUUUCGGCCUUAAACAACACAAGUUGCUUUUUUAUUAUUCUAAAACUACUUUUUUUAGAUGAAAAAAAGUAUUUACAUAUAAAUUACUUCACUUUAAAUUUAUUUUUAAACAAGAUUAAUUUACAAAAUCAAAAUCCUAAAUUAAAGUUUGUCAAUUGAAACAUGCUUUUUUUAUUCAAAUGGCUUUUGACUUUAAUGACAAAAAAAUGCUUUUGUCUUUUGCUUUUUGUUGGUUGCGCCUCUUCUGUGCUCUACCCCUUUCAUCACCUGCCUUCCUCGGGUGUUGUCCACUGAAACUGUCUCACAUAAAUGUAAAUGCAAGAUGAAAGUGAAACUGUUGUUUCGAACGACCAAGAGCCAACUCAAAUGAAGCUCUACUGUUUCUGGCUUAUCACUUUGAAGCCCAUUGAUGUGAUUUGUUCAUAAAUUCGGAUAACAUCUCUAGCCCAAGUAAUUCUUGGGGUAUUCAUUCUUACAAGAGACCUUAUAGUUACAAGGAAAAUUUUCCACACAAUUAAAAUUGGGACAACUUGUAGGAUAUAUUUUUUACACGUGUAAAAAAGAUAAAAAUAAUUGUUUAUAAUGUCACAUAUAAUGUCAAUUUUUUUAUGUUGAGAUAAUGAACUGCAAUUACAAGAGACACUUGGACUGGGUUCAAUAUUUGCUUCUCAUCAAAGAGCUCGCAGCUUUCAUGGCAACUUCUUUCUAAUUCCAUGGUGCAUUCCGUCCAUUAUUUUCCUCUUGUUAUUUAUUUGUUCUUGAAGAGAGACACGGAGUUGAAUAGAAAGAUACAUAGCUACUUUUCCAUCAUAUUAGGGAAAAAGAGAGGUGGCAUCUAAUAAAUUUGUUUGCACUUGUGAGAAAAAUGCACCAGCGGUUGCUAGUAGCGCUUUAAAUGUAUUUGCUUUAACGUGUUUGCUGAUAGGUGUCUCAACUGACUGAGGAUAUUUUAAGGGCCGGGAAUCAAGAGUAGAAUUUUUUUUUUAUAAAAAAUAUAAUUAAUGCACACUAUCAUGAUUUUUAAUUUAUUUUCAAUGUGAUUUUUUUAUAAAACUUUAUUAUUAUUUUCUUAAUAAUGUCUUUAGGGAAUUGGUGAGCCACAUCCCUAUUUCUCUUUUAACCUUUUUCUUACACAUUAGUACCCACAUAUUGGACCAGUUAAAAAAAAAUUAGCUGGACUCAUAAAACAAACUUGAUCUUCUAUAUAUGAAUCAAUUUCUUAUAGACCAUUUAAAUAUAUGCAUGAAAAGAAUUUCCCUUUUCAAAAUUUCUAGAUGUAGAGGGCAACUUUGGUCCUUGGAUCACUUCCUCCACUAUGGAAACCAUGGCAAGUUAGAUGAAAGUUCUAUAUACCUCGGUGGGUUUGGCAUUGAAUUAAUUCGCGAUACCCUUUGUGUUAGGGGAAGGGAAAAAGUGGAAAGUAAAAGCAUACAACUUCCAAUUGCCCUUGGAUGAAAGGGAAAAUGAGAAAAAAUUGCAACACAAGCAGGGCAUAUCCCACCACCGAAUGGAUAGUGACGUAAAUUGAAUGGCCCCUCCAUAUAUAAAUUCACAUGGCCUGUAAAGGCUUUUCGCAUCCAACAUGCAAUGAAAAAUAUUAAUGUUAGAAGUUGGUUGACUUGUUCUAUGCCUCAACCAGGACAUAAGUAUUCAUUUAAUUAGGGUUCAAGGACAGCCUGUGAUUAGGUCAAGCAUAUUUAAUGGCAUUUCAUAAAGUGACUCAUCAUAUUGACCCCAUUGUCACAUUAAAAGGAACAGACAGGUCUCUCUUUCAAGCAAGAUAAAAGAAAACACACCUAUGAAUUUACAAAUUUAUAGGAAAUUUCAUUUUUCAAACGAACUGAGAUUUACCACUACCCUUUAACAGAUGCCCCACUAUUUCGAAUCUCCCCAUAACAAAUAAUAUUCAGUUUUUCCCCUUUGUUGUAAUCUGAUUAUAGGAAACAACGUUUUCAACUUAUAGGAAACAAUAUACAUAUAUAUGCAAGGAUUUGGUUGCAUAUAAUGGUCAUCUUUCAUACUUUCAUUUCACAUAGCAAGGAACCUUCUACUUCUAGUAUUAGAGUAUGCUAGUUAUUGGCAUUUGGUUAGUUAGAAAACACACUAACAUCUUAUGGUAUUGUUGAUAAACACUCAGGUCUCUUAAGUAAGUAUGUGAAUAAAAAUUCAAUAUUUAAGUUUAUGCAUACGAAGGCACAUUUAUUAAAACAGGUUAAUUUCCUAAAUUUUUAUAUCUUGAGAAAUUAAUUCUUAAUUCUUGACAAAAUAUAUCCUUACCUUUUUUUUUUUAAAAAAAAAAAACAGAUCCUAGACACUAAUUUUUUUAUCAAUAAAUAUUAACUAUUAGUUUAUUCAUUUUUAUUAGUAAUGAAAUUUAAACUCACGGUUCUCUCUUCUCCCUAAACUCUAGAUAUGAUGCAAUGCAAUCGAGCUUAGGUUAAUAUUAAUGUGGGUGGUGCCAUAAAAGGAACACCAUGAAAGCAAAAUGAAUGGAAAGCAAGGAGGGAUUUAACUCCUUUAAACUUAUAGGUAAUUCAUUAAUUGAUGAAGGGCAAGAGGGUGGGCAGUGCCAACUAAUUUAUAUAUGCAUAUACCUAAUNNNNNNNNNNNNNNNNNNNNNNNNNNNNNNNNNNNNNNNNNNNNNNNNNNNNNNNNNNNNNNNNNNNNNNNNNNNNNNNNNNNNNNNNNNNNNNNNNNNNGACAAUUCAAAUUAAAUUACCCUAGGGAGAGUAAAAAGUUUUGCCGCAAUUGAUGGGUCAAUGAAAAAGUCAUAAGUGAGUAUAACCCCAAUUGCUACCCUUUUCUUAGCCCCCAGGGAAAAGAAAAAAUAAAUAAAAAUGAAAGGGAUGUUAGAGGAAAAUAAAAACCUUGGAAGAAAAUGAUGUUAGCUCCCACUUUUGUUAGGAUUUUGAUGUAGCAAACACAAGAAUAAGACCCAUUGUAAUUUCCAUCCACAGCUUAUUCAAUUAGUAGGAGUUUUCUAUCAUGAGAAUAUUUGCUCGUGAUUUGUGUAUUUGAUUUGUAGUUAUUUUCCAAUACGUUGACAUGCUCAUGUCAUUUAUUAUGCAAUUCUAUUUACGUAAUUUGUAUUGAACGUACAAGACUAUAAAUACGGUAUUUGAAUUUAAAUAGUUCCAUCUAUGUCUUCCUUUAAUUCAAGUAUGAAUUAUCCAACUCAUAUAAGAGAAAUUCUUGAGUGAUACUGAAAUGCACAUCAGUGAUAACAGACGGUAGUGCACACCAUGGCAAUUUUUUUUAACUGUUAUCUCUAAUUCGAAUGUAGAAAAAAUAUAGAAAAUUAAUUUUGUCAUAAAUUCACUAGGACCGAAAUACGUAAAGCAUGCUUCUAGCAUGUUAUUUUUACAACAAUAAAUUACAUUUAAAGGCUCUGUUUGUUUAAUCUUAAAGAAUAUUACUAUUUUUUUAUAUUUUUCAAAAGACUUAUACAAUCGUUAUAAUUUUUUUAAAAAAAAUCGCUACAAUUUUUAAACUUCGAAGCCCUGCAUUUAUGCACUUUGAUGUUUUAAAAAUUUACAGUCUUCGUUUCUCUCAUAAUACCAAUAGCACUACAGUGUACAACUACUAAUAAUUUAAUUAAAACAAGUAAAGAGGUGAGCACUCGUGAUAAUGUUCGGCGUAAACAAGUCACCGACAAUAUUCGCGUGAUUUCCUAAUGUUUUGUUUUGUCUUGUUUACACACGUGUUGUGGCGCCUCUUGUUUCUGUUUUUAGUUUCAUGCUUCUUCUUCUUUUAUUUGCAAUGUUGCCGCAUAUUACUUACUCUCCAUUAGUGUGAAAUAUUUUCUUAGUUUCUAAUUAUAAGAUAUUUUUAGGAAAUUUAUUUCUCAAUUUUUAUAAUUUUUUUAAAAAAUUUAGAUGUAUUUGUUAUUUUUUUACAUAUUUUUACUUAAUUACUCUCUUUCCAGCAUUAAUAAAAAAUAAUUAAGUGAAUUAAAAAAUAAGAAAAAAUAUUUUAAAAUAAUACAAAUAAUAAAUAAAUUUAACGUGAUUAAUUAAAUUAAUUACUUUUUCUAAGUGACAUAAAUUAGUUAAAAAGGUUUUAUAAUUAAUAACCAAAGGACUAAUAUUUUACCCAAUUCAAAAGCCUCUAAUAUUAAUGCAUGUUGGUAAAAUUUAUGUAUUAACAACUAGAAUAUGCCUAUAAAAAAAAUUAACAGCUAGAAUAUGCCUAUUAGAGUGCUGCUAAA
rnacentral:lncRNA from 1 species